GACGAACGCUGGCGGCGUGCUUAACACACGCAAGUCGAACGGAAAGGCCCUGCUUUUGUGGGGUGCUCGAGUGGCGAACGGGGGAGUAACACGUGAGUAACAUGCCCUUGACUUUGGGAUAACUUCAGGAAACUGGGGCUAAUACCGGAUAGGAGCUCCUGCUGCAUGGGGGGGGUUGGAAAGUUUCGGCGGUAGGGGAUGGACUCGCGGCUUAUCAGCUUGUUGGUGGGGUAGUGGCUUACCAAGGCUUUGAAGGGUAGCCGGCCUGAGAGGGUGACCGGCCACAUUGGGACUAAGAUACGGCGCAGACUCCUACGGGAGGCAGCAGUGGGGAAUAUUGCACAAUGGGCGGAAGCCUGAUGCAGCAACGCCGCGUGCGGGAUGACGGCCUUCGGGUUGUAAACCGCUUUCGCCUGUGACGAAGCGUGAGUGACGGUAAUGGGUAAAGAAGCACCGGCUAACUACGUG
rnacentral:rRNA from 1 species